GAUGAAGAACGCAGCGAAACGCGAUAGUUAAUGUGAAUUGCAGAAUUCA
rnacentral:rRNA from 1 species